GAUGAAGAACGCAGCGAAAUGCGAUAAGUAAUGUGAAUUGCAGAAUUCAGUGAAUCAUCGAAUCUUUGAACGCACAUUGCGCCCGCCGGUAUUCCGGCGGGCAUGCCUGUUCGAGCGUCAUUUCAACCCUCAAGCUCUCCGGAGUUUGGUGUUGGGGCGCCUGGGGCUUUUCGACCUCAGGGCCCCCAAGUCCAUCGGCGGGACCGCCAGGACACUGAGCGCAGUAGUAUUAUUUCGCUCGGUAGGAUCUUCCACGGCGGGUCGAUCUGGCCGCUAAACCCCCCAAUUCUCACCAAAGGUUGACCUCGGAUCAGGUAGGAAUACCCGCUGAACUUAAGCAUAUCAAUAAGCGGAGGA
rnacentral:misc_RNA from 1 species